rnacentral:rRNA from 1 species
CCUUCGGGUUGUAAACCACUUUUGUCAGGGAAGAAACGGCUCUUACUAAUAUUAGGAGCUAAUGACGGUACCUGAAGAAUAAGCACCGGCUAACUACGUGC